CGACGGGUGAGUAACACGUAUGCAAUCCACCUGUAACAGGGGGAGUAACCCGGAGGAAUCCGGACUAAUACCCCAUAAUAUGGGCGCUCCGCAUGAAGAGUCCAUUAAAGAGAGCAAUCUUGGUUACAGACGAGCAUGCGCUCCAUUAGCCAGUUGGCGGGGUAACGGCCCACCAAGGCGACGAUGGAUAGGGGUUCUGAGAGGAAGUUCCCCCACAUUGGAACUGAGACACGGUCCAA
rnacentral:rRNA from 1 species